UCGUAACAAGGUUUCCGUAGGUGAACCUGCGGAAGGAUCAUUAAUGAAUUUAGAUUGAACCAUAGGCGAAAGCCAGUGGUUCUUCUUUCAUAUCCAUAACACCUGUGCACUGUUGGAUGCUUGCAUCCACUUUUAAACUAAACAUUAUUGUAACAAAUGUAGUCUUAUUAUAACAUAAUAAAACUUUCAACAACGGAUCUCUUGGCUCUCGCAUCGAUGAAGAACGCAGCGAAAUGCGAUAAGUAAUGUGAAUUGCAGAAUUCAGUGAAUCAUCGAAUCUUUGAACGCACCUUGCGCUCCUUGGUAUUCCGAGGAGCAUGCCUGUUUGAGUGUCAUGAAACCCUCAAACCCAAGUUUUGGAUUUCGAUCCAUGCUUGAGUUUGGAUUUGGAUGUUUGCCGGUGAUGAACCGACUCAUCUUAAAAGUAUUAGCUUGGAUCUGUCUAUAUGACUGGUUUGACUUGGCAUAAUAAGUAUUUUGCUGAGGACAUCUUCGGAUGGCCAGGACCUAGACUACUGUCUGCUAACUAAACCAUCACUUUAAGUGCAUCUUUGGAUGUUACUCAUUGUGUAACUUUGACAUCUGGCCUCAAAUCAAGUAGGACUACCCGCUGAACUUAAGCAUAUCAAUAA
rnacentral:misc_RNA from 1 species